rnacentral:rRNA from 1 species
CCGUAACUAUAACGGUCCUAAGGUAGCGAAAUUCCUUGUCGGGCAAGUUCCGACCUGCACGAAUGGCAUAAUGAUGGCCACACUGUCUCCUCCUGAGACUCAGUGAAGUUGAAAUGUUUGUGAUGAUGCAAUCUCCCCGCGGCUAGACGGAAAGACCCCAUGAACCUUUACUGCAGCUUUGCAUUGGACUUUGAACCGAUCUGUGUAGGAUAGGUGGGAGGCAGUGAAGCUAGGACGCCAGUCUUAGCGGAGCCAACCUUGAAAUACCACCCUGAUUUGUUUGAGGUUCUAACCUAGGAGCGUGAUCCGCUUCGGGGACCGUGCAUGGUAGGCAGUUUGACUGGGGCGGUCUCCUCCUAAAGGGUAACGGAGGAGUGCGAAGGUACGCUAGGUACGGUCGGAAAUCGUGCUGAUAGUGCAAUGGCAAAAGCGUGCUUGACUGCGAGACCGACAAGUCGAGCAGAUACGAAAGUAGGUCAUAGUGAUCCGGUGGCUCUGCAUGGAAGGGCCAUCGCUCAACGGAUAAAAGGUACUCUGGGGAUAACAGGCUGAUACCGCCCAAGAGUUCAUAUCGACGGCGGUGUUUGGCACCUCGAUGUCGGCUCAUCUCAUCCUGGGGCUGUAGCCGGUCCCAAGGGUAUGGCUGUUCGCCAUUUAAAGAGGUACGUGAGCUGGGUUUAAAACGUCGUGAGACAGUUUUGUCCCUAUCUGCCGUGGGCGUUGGAAGAUUGACGGGGGCUGCUCCUAGUACGAGAGGACCGGAGUGGACUCACCUCUGGUGUACCGGUUGUCACGCCAGUGGCAUCGCCGGGUAGCUAUGUGGGGAAAGGAUAACCGCUGAAAGCAUCUAAGCGGGAAACCUGCCUGAAGAUAAGUCUUCCUGGAGGCUUUGACCUCCCUGAAGAGUCGUUCGAGACCAGGACGUUGAUAGGUUGGAUGUGCAAGCGCUGUGAGGCGUUGAGCUGACCAAUACUAAUUGCUCGUGAAGCUUGAUCCU